rfam:TPA: Bos taurus chromosome 1, whole genome shotgun sequence.
UCCUGAUAGCUCAGUUGGUAAAGAAUUCGCCUGCAAUGCAGGAGACCCUGGUUCGAUUCCAGGGUCAGGAA